rnacentral:lncRNA from 1 species
GCCUUUGUUGGGUAGGCGAAGAAGCGAUCCACAGUAGACUAGUUAGUGGCACAUCUAAGUCUUUACUAGAACAAAGUACUUCUACAUAUGGGCUAGCACAAUGUUGGAAUUCUAUUCGGCAAAUAAAAAGUUUUGCAUCAUGCAAAAGCUGCCUCAAUAUAGCUAGCUUAGAGCUUCGCAAGCGCUGCCCUCACAGUUGAGGAGCCACAAUUUUGAUUGACCUAUCACAAUAUUAUUAUUCACCAUGCUCCCUACUCAGUAAAACAUCUUAAAACCUGUAAAUAACAAUAGAAUUUUAGAAACAUUUCAAAUUCCUAUUUGGGAGUGCUGUAUGAACAUUAUAUAAAAAUAAAAACAUUAAUUCAGAUAUGAAUAAACCAAGUAUACCAUUCCUUUGAAUUGCAAAUAGAGAAGGAAACAUAUCCUGCAAUGAAAUUAUCUUAAAAAAGGACUUCUAUGAAACCAAAAAACAAAAAAAAAGUAUAUUAAGAAAAGACAAUAGGAAGCAAGGGAAAGGGUUUUCAGGGCAAGAAAAGAUUUUGGCAUACAAGCAGACAAGGAAAAAUUUCAAUAGAAGCAAACCUUCCCACAUUCAGAUCUUAGCUUUGUAUCAAUAAUGUUCAUGCCCAUUUUACUCUUGUAAGCAGCAACUAAUCGUCUUAUGUGUGCUUCUUUAGCAGCUUUUUCUUCAGCUGUUACUAGCACUUCCCCCGUGCGUAUAACUCUUCCACCAUCAAACUGAACAUCAAUCACAUUUUCAAUCCCCUUCCCCUAAGACCAUCUCCAACCCAAGGGGUGGAAACUCAAAUUUUGAGUUUAGCCUCCAAAAAACUUCUCCAACCCAUGUAUUUUGGGAGGUGAAAAUUUGAGAUGACUCAAAACUGGACUGGAAUUCCAGUUAGAAUUCUGCCUAGACUGAUAAACUCGUGGCGCCCAAAUCUGCUUUAAUAUAUAUAUAUAUAUAUAUUUUAUUGAAUGCUAGGAGAAGCCCACGUGAUGGGCUAUGUUGCUGGCCCGCUUUGACAAGUGGGAAUGAAGAUUCCCUUUCCUUUAUUGAGAAGCAAUGGCUACUUUUUCAAAUGUUUUGUUAUGCUGUUUUUAAACAUAUAUAUAUAUAUAUUUUUUCCAACAGCUAUAAAAUCAAAUAAUCUGAUUCAUUUUAAGCAAUCUCAACGGUAAAAUUUCACAUUCAACGGCUCAAAUUUAAAUCCAAUGAUCAAAUUAAUAUUUAUAAUUAAUCUAAGUCAGAUCCAACCCCAAAACUUAAUCCAAACUCUAUAAAUAGCCAUUCAUUUGGUAAAUAAUCCACCAAAAAUCAUUUUUUUCCUCCCUUUAUUAUAAUUUUUCAUUCUACAUUCAUCAUUGGUGAGAAUGGCCCCAAAACCCCAAAGAAGUGUGAAUUGGAAACCACAAGAAGAUGAGGCAUUGUGUAGAGGGUGGGUUUCUGUCUCUGAAGAUGGGGCUAUUGGCACGAAUCAAUCAAACGAUUCAUUUUGGUUGCGUGUGUACCAAAAAUUUUUGGAAAAUGAUCCAGGCAUGAGCGGAGCCGACGAUCACCACAAGCUAUUGCUUCUCGGUUCAAGAUCAACCAACAAUGUUCUCUUUGGAAGGCAUGUAUAACAAAGGCCAAUGCAAGACAUGCUCCAAUCUUGAAGAUGUGGUGAGUACCCAUUUUUUUCAAUGCUUAAAUUUAUAAUUUUAAUUGUUUUCAAUUAUUAACUUGAUUUUUAUUUUAUUUCAUGAGUAGGAUAUGACUGCAAAAACAUUUUUCUUGAAUGAUAAUAAACCUCUAAAUAGGCCUUUCAAGUUGUAUCAUGCUUGGCAAAUCUUAAAAGACUGCCCAAAAUGGAAUGACCUAUGUGAAUCUCCCACACAAACAUUCAAAGAUUCUUCUCAUAGUGGCAAUACAGUCAACUUGGAGGAAGAUGAAGAUGAUGCGGUCAUGCCCACUCCAAGGCCAUUGGGAAGGGAUAAACAGAAGGAUGAAAAAAAGAAAGGGAAAUGUGUUGAAAGUUAUCUCAACCAAAGUGGUAAGUUCUUGUAUGAAUUGAUUCAACAAGGAAAUGAGGCAAAAGAGGAUAGGCGGCGAAAGUUAGAGCUCCUACAAGAGCAACAUGCAUAUCAAAUCCAACAAGAUAAGGAGGCCAAUGAACGGAGGAUAAUGUCCAUGGACCUAUCCAAAUUUACUCCAAGAAAGAAAAAGUAUUGGGGGAAUAAGCAAGACGAAAUUAUUGAGGCCCAGAUGAAUACAAGUUCCCCCGACAAUCCAGAAGACAACUCUGGAAACUAUUAUCCAAGCCCUCCACAUAGUGAUUAUUAAUUUACGAUUAUUUGUAAUUGUUGUUUAUCUUUAUUUAUAAUUGUCGUUUAUCUUUAUUUCUAAUUGUUGUUUAGCUUUAUUUUUAAUUAUCGUUUAUCUUUAUUUGUAAUUGUUGUUUAUCUUUAUAUAUAAUUAUCGUUAUCUUUUUUUUUUUUUUUAUGAUUGUCGUUUAUUUUUCUAUGAUUAGUUUUUUUUUUUAAAUUCAAUGAUAAGCCAUAUAAUUCAUUAAAAUCACACAACCACUUUUAUAAUUUAUACACACUUUCAUAAUUUAAACACACAGCAUAAUUUAAACACACUUACAUAAUUUAAACACACAACAUAGCUCAUUGCCCCUCUCCUUCGCAUCUCCAAAUGUGGUUGAUCAAAUCAUUUAUUAAAUUGUGAUGCACUUGUGAAGCACGAACUCUAUUAUGAUGGACCAUGUAGUCUGAGAUAGUUUGUCUAUCUCAGUUUAUAUCGUACGUGAUAGUCGGAGUCUUGGUCUUGCUCUUCUAGAUGUUCAUGGACAAUUGUCUUCAUCAUCAGAUUCUGCAUCUAGAUCCUCAUACUCAUCCUCAACAAUCAUGUUGUGCAAUAUUAUGCACGUCAGGAUUGAAUGAAGUUGUUCUUUGCGCCACAUACAUGCAGGUCCCCUAACAAUUGCCCAUUGAGCCUGAAGUAUUCCGAAGGCUCUUUCGACAUCCUUCCUAUAAGCCUCUUGUUUUGGGGCAAAUAGUCUUUUUUUUGGAGUAUCCGGUUGGGAAAUCAUCUUAACCAAUGUAGCCCAACGAGGGUAGAUACCAUUAGCCAAGUAAUAACCCAGAUUAUAUUCAUUUCCAUUAACAACAUAUUGGAUAUGGGGAUACACUCCAUUCACUACAUCAUUGAACAACGGGGAACGAGCUAGAACGUUUAUAUCGUUGUUCGAUCUAGCAACGCCAAAAAAGGCAUGCCAUAUCCAAGUGUCAUAUGAGGCCACUGCUUCUAGAACGACAAUUGGCUUAUGCUUGUAGCCAGUAAACUGGCCUGCCCAAGUAGUGGGGCAGUUCUUCCAUUCCCAAUGCAUGCAGUCAAGACUGCUUAACAUGCCUGGGAAUCCUCUGCGACUAGCCUUGUGUAAGAGCCUGUAAAGAUCGGCCAGAUUUGGAGAAUGGAGGUACCACUGACCAUACACAGCUUUAAUAACAGAAUAAAACUUUCGCAAACAUUCAAGGGAUGUAGAUUCACCAAUCUACAGUACUAAGCGGUGGAGUCUGCCGAGCAUCUAUAUGCGAGUAUUUGAAAAAUAGCUGUUAGCUUCUGCUCUGGGGAUAGACUUUGUCAUCCACAAGCGUCUAUCUUUUGGGUAAAGUAUGGCUUAUGUGCAACAACAUCCUUCAAGAUGGGAUAGAAAAGCUCUCUUCUCAUGCUGAACCGCCUGGGAAAGUCCACUGGGGGAUAAAGUGGCUUUCACAGAAGUAGUCCUCCAUGAGACUCUUAUGAUGUUUUUCUCUCUUCUGAUUCUUGUAUUCAUGGCCUGCAACAGAACCACCAUGUUUGGAUUGUUGAGCAUAUUGCUCCAGUAAAAACGUAUGGUGUUGAACAGCCAUUGCAACCCUCUGUUAAUGAAGGUCAUCAUCAUCAGAAUCAUCAUUGAAGAAAUUUUGUAUAGCCUUCCCACGUGAAUUCAUUGUAACAAGGCGAAUUGAAGCAGAUCUUGUGGUCAAUUUAGUAGAAUAACACUUCUUAAAUAGACAAGAGAAUGAGAUGACCUACAUGUUUGAAAAUAAUUGAAUGAAGAUAGGAAAAGAUAGAGAAAGAUAAGGGAAUCCAAUAAAGUGAGAUGAGCAAAGAUGAGCAAUGGUUCAUAACGUGAUUGAAACAAGACAAGAUGGGAAAUGGUUCAAAAAAUAAUUGAAUGAAGAUAGGAAAAGAUAGGGAAAGAUAAGGAAAUCCAAUAAAGUAAGAUGGACAAAGUUGAGCAAUGGUUCAGAACAUGAUUGAAACAAGAUAAUAGGGGAUGGGAAAGAGUUCAGAAAAUAAUUGAAGAACACAAGUGGAGGUGGGCAAAUGUUCAAAACAUUAUUGAAUGAGGAUAAAGGAAUCCAAUGAAGUAAAAGUAAAAGUAAAAAUGGAAGAAAAUUAUGGCAAUGGCUUCAAUGAAGGGUUUGAAUUAUUCUGGGCAUACGUAUGGUGUUGUACUUGUUUUUAUUUUUAAGUGAAAUUCUAUUACGUUUUGGAAUUUUAAUUUUUUUAGGUUAAAAUGUUUAGAAAAUUAAAUCACGAGUAUUGAAAUAAAAAUAAUGUCAAGAAAAAACAAUUAGGGGUUAAUCAUUCUUAAACAAUUUAAUAAAGUUGCAAACUUAAAUUAUGAGUCUGCAAGGUUGGAGGAAAAAAAAAAUUUUGAGUCCUGAAAAUACAUGAAUAGUUGUAUUUUGGAGGGUGAAAAUUUUAAUUUAGCCCCAACAUGGUUGGAGAUGGUCUAAAUACAGAAAUACAGCAGCUGUAUCACUAUCGCAUUAAUAUUUCCAAUUAAAAAUUUUCACUAUAUAAAUGGUCAUCUCACAAUACAAAGUUUAUUAUAAUUGUUCACCCGUUUUGAUUUAAUCCUGUCAUGGUAGGGUAAAGUUCCCCAUUGGCUUGAAAACCUUGGUGGUUAACAAGUCAACUUUCUUUGGCGUGCAAGUGUGCCACUGUUAGUUAAAAUUCUAACAAACUUUAUGAAAAAAUAGAUAACUUGCGGCCCAAGUUACUGACUUUAAAUAAGUGAUUGUGAAUUUGGGUGAGGAAUAUCUCCCAAGCAAGUUCUUUUUUUGCCUUAGACUGGUGAGGACUUUACAAUCUAUCACAGUAAACUGGUAGUUCUAGUCAAAAUGAAUAUUGAAAAGAUAGAUCAAACUGUUCCUAAGGAAAAACUGCAUAUUACAGAACUUUUAAGACAAGAGGGGACUGCCAUGUCUAAAAGGUCAACAAAACACUGGACUUCGAUUUCUGCUUGGAUAGCUGUCUAUAAUUCUAGCUGGAUUGGAUGUAUCUAUGCUGGAUUCAAACGUCAACACCUUCAAAUGAUGAGGCUUAGCUAGAAAUCGAUACCAAUUGGGGCAGAGCUUUAAUCUAUUCUAGCCAUGAAGAGACUUGCUGGAUGGGCAGAACUGAGAUUUCUUCAGUCUGGACGGGGCUAGAUUGAUGAUUACUGGCCUGGAACUACACUACAACACUUGUUCUACUUGAUUAUGAGUCAUCCAAGAGCUAUUCUAGCAAUUCUGAGAGCUCAAGACAUCUUUGUAAAUUUGUUGAGGUUUUCAUAUUAUGAAAAACCCGAAUUCUGCUUGAUUUGGCUUGUACUGAACUAAAUUUGUAAUGAGAGAGAGCUCGUUUCCUUUGUAAACCACUUCUCUGAAUUGAACUGAAGUCAGAAACUUGAGUUCUGGCUGGUCUGUCUUUUGUGAAUCAAAGAGUUUGGUUGAUUCAGGGCCUGAAGGCCUUUGAGAUCAACUAAUCUUGUUUUGAAUUUGUCAAUGUGACUUUGAGAGUUUUUGUUUUGAUUGAAAUUUUUUGGCCCUUAAUCCGGUUCACCUCCUCUCAUUUUUAUAGAGACUCUGAAUGAGGGUCUAUUCUUUAAUAUCUGGGGGCAGAUAUUUUGGAAAUGAUUUUUUUUUUUCUUUUCCAAUGCAAAGAAUCAGGAAGUUAUUAAUCUGCUAUGAUGGUCCAUUUGCUUUUUCUAAAAAACCAACUCUCUUAUUUUCUGCUUAUCUCUUGCAAAACAUAACCUACUAUGAUGGUCUAUUUGCUUUUUCUAGAAAACCAACUCUCCUGUUCUCUGUUUAUCUCUUGUAAAACAUAUGGCACUUCUUCAAAUAUCCGUUUAAAAGUGAAAGCCCCUAUUCAUGCUUAAUUUUAUAUGCAUGUAUCAAGCACGUUAAUGUAACACUAACUGUGACAUUAACUGUCACACCGUUUUUGAAGAAACUUUUGGCUUGUAAAGAUCUGAGUUGUCUCCUUGAGUCUGCUCUGGCUUCCGUGCCACUGCAUCAAAAUUUCAAGCGUCCCCCGACUAUAAUCUCAACAUCAGGUGAGUCCCCUUCUGGAAAAUAGUCUGCCAUUGGAAUCCACAGUCCUCUAUACUCCUUAACCGCAGAGCCAAGUCCCACAAAAUCAAUACUUGAAACUGACGAUUUUCCCUUCUUGUCUACUAUCUCAUUCCCCAAGUUUCCCCCAGUACUUUCCUCCAAACCUAUAAGACAAUACAAAUACAAAUUUUACCCCACAUUUUAAGUUACAUAAUUCAUUCUUGAGAAGAAAUCCGAUAGUAUUUUGUGUUUGCUAUCACCUUUAGAAAACUCUAGUGCAUUGCUCAGAAAAAUAAUGGAAAAGCAAACUUAGAAAAAACAUAAAUCAAAUUAAUAACUUAUAGAUUAUUAAACCUUCUACCAUUGAUGAAGAAGCAAAUAAACAAACACCUAAAUUUAUGUAAGUCUACGGCAAGUACCUGUUUCACUUCAAUAGAACAUGGAAACUGUCACUCUUCAGCUCUAAUUUCAAAUCUUCUUUUUUCUUUUUCCUUUUUUUUUCUCUUUUCAAAAUUACCUGAAAUUUUGUGCCAUUACUCUUGUUGAUGCCCAAAAUCGGAGGACAUCUUAGGUGGAAGUAGUGUCAAGUGUUCAACAUAACAAGAGGGUUGUGGACCUUCGGCAAGGAGAGAUCCCACGAAAGAAAUAGGGAGGAAGCAAUCAUCAAGUUUCGGAUACCACUGUGGUACCUACCGAAGGCUCUCCGAUACUUAAGUCAACAAGAGUAGGUUAUGUAGUAAUUUUAGUAAAGUAACAGUAAAGGUGAAAAGUAAUUACCUUUUUUACUUGGGCACUAUUCCUCUUUUAUAGAGAAUUGAAAGUGAGAGUUUACACAAAGUUUUGACGUGGAACUUUGUCCAAAUCGUUGUAGUGGUGACGCGUGUCCAUGGUUCUAGGCUCUAUAACUGAGAGCUUCGGCAGGCUUCGGGUCUAUCUUCGUGCUGGUCCUUUAGUGCCAAAUGUGCUUAGUAUGGUAUAAACAAUAGUGCCUCAACUUUUGCGAUCAAGAAGUGGCUUUUGGGUUGGAUAAUCAAAUCGAGUAUUUUUGGUCUAGCAAGCGCCGUAGGGCGUUCCCCAAUCCCCCAAGUUUGCAAGCUAGAAGUUGCGUCGACCAUGGGGGUAACUUGGUGAAGCUGUUGAGUUGGCGUUUGUUGGGUAGGCGAACAAGCGAUCCACAGGAGACUAGUUAGUGGCACAUCUAAGUCUUUAAUAGAACAAAGUACUUCUACAUAUGGGCUAGCACAAUGUUGGAAUUCUAUUCGGCAAAUAAAAAGUUUUGCAUCAUGCAAAACCUGCCCCAAUAUAGCUAGCUUAGAGCUUCGCAAGCGCUGCCCUCACAGUUGAGGAGCCACAAUUUUGAUUGACCUAUCACAAUAUUAUUAUUCAC